UAAUACGAAGGGGGCGAGCGUUGUUCGGAAUCACUGGGCGUAAAGCGUACGUAGGCGGCUAUGAAAGUCAGGAGUGAAAUCCCAGGGCUCAACCCUGGAACUGCUCUUGAAACUCCAUAGCUAGAGACCUGGAGAGGUUGGCGGAAUUCCGAGUGUAGAGGUGAAAUUCGCAGAUAUUCGGAGGAACACCAGUGGCGAAGGCGGCCAACUGGACAGGUACUGACGCUGAGGUACGAAAGCGUGGGGAGCAAACGGGAUUAGAUACCCCGGUAGUCCACGCCGUAAACGAUGUGUGCUAGUUGUUGGGGGCUUAAGCCUUCGGUGACACAGCUAACGCGUUAAGCACACCGCCUGGGGAGUACGGUCGCAAGAUUA
rnacentral:rRNA from 1 species